rnacentral:rRNA from 1 species
CCUACGGGAGGCAGCAGUGAGGAAUAUUGGUCAAUGGGCGUGAGCCUGAACCAGCCAAGUCGCGUGAAGGAAGACGGUCCUAUGGAUUGUAAACCUCUUUAGUCGGGGAGUAAUGCCGUGCACGCGUGCCCGGUGGGAGAGUACCCGCAGAAUAAGCAUCGGCUAAGUCGGUGCCAGCAGCCGCGGUAAUACGGGGAAUGCGAGCGUGAUCCGGAUUGAUUGGGUUUAAAGGGUGCGUAGGGGUGUUUUUAGGUCAGCGGUAAAGUGUCGGGCCUAAACCCGGGAGGGCCGUUGAAACUGGGGAACUUGAGUGGGUUAGAGGUAGGCGGAAUGCGUGGUGUAGCGGUGAAAUGCAUAGAUAUCACGCAGAACUCCGAUUGCGAAGGCAGCAUACCGGGGCAUGACUGACGCUGAGGCACGAAAGCGUGGGGAUCGAACAGGAUUAGAUACCCGAGUAGUC